rnacentral:rRNA from 1 species
GACGAACGCUGGCGGCGUGCCUAAUACAUGCAAGUAGAACGCUGAAGGAGGAGCUUGCUCUUCUGGAUGAUUUGCGAACGGGUGAGUAACGCGUAGGUAACCUGCCUGGUAGCGGGGGAUAACUAUUGGAAACGAUAGCUAAUACCGCAUAACAGUAGAUGUUGCAUGACAUUUGCUUAAAAGGUGCAAUUGCACCACUACCAGAUGGACCUGCGUUGUAUUAGCUAGUUGGUGGGGUAACGGCUCACCAAGGCGACGAUACAUAGCCGACCUGAGAGGGUGAUCGGCCACACUGGGACUGAGACACGGCCCAGACUCCUACGGGAGGCAGCAGUAGGGAAUCUUCGGCAAUGGACGGAAGUCUGACCGAGCAACGCCGCGUGAGUGAAGAAGGUUUUCGGAUCGUAAAGCUCUGUUGUAAGAGAAGAACGAGUGUGAGAGUGGAAAGUUCACACUGUGACGGUAUCUUACCAGAAAGGGACGGCUAACUACGUG